UACGUAGGGGGCUAGCGUUGUCCGGAAUCAUUGGGCGUAAAGCGCGUGUAGGCGGCCCGGUAAGUCCGCUGUGAAAGUCGGGGGCUCAACCCUCGGAUGCCGGUGGAUACUGUCGGGCUAGAGUGCGGAAGAGGCGAGUGGAAUUCCUGGUGUAGCGGUGAAAUGCGCAGAUAUCGGGAGGAACACCUAUGGCGAAGGCAGCUCGCUGGGACGUUACUGACGCUGAGACGCGAAAGCGUGGGGAGCAAACAGG
rnacentral:rRNA from 1 species